GAUGAACGCUGGCGGCGUGCCUAAUACAUGCAAGUCGAGCGAACAGACGAGGAGCUUGCUCCUCUGACGUGAGGGGCGGACGGGUGAGUAACACGUGGAUAAUCUACCUAUAUGACUGGGAUAAUCUCGGGAAACCGGAGCAAAUACCGGAUAAGCUAUUGAACCGCAGGGGUGAAUGGUGAAAGACGGCGUUGCGGUAACGUAUAGAGGCAUCCGCGCCGGAUUAUCUGGUUGUGAAGGUAAAGGCUUACCAAGGGAACGAUGCGUAGCCGAGCUGAGAGGGUGAUCGCCCACACUGGAGCUGGGACACGGUCCAGACUCCUACGGGAGGCAGCAGUCGCGAAUCUUCCGCAAUGGGCGAAAGCCUGACGGAGCAACGCCGCGUGAGUUAUGAAGGUCUUCGGAUCGUAAAACUCUGUUAUUAGGGAAGAACAAAUGUGUAAGUAACUAUGCACGUCUUGACGGUACCUAAUCAGAAAGCCCCGGCUAACUACGUG
rnacentral:rRNA from 1 species